rnacentral:sRNA from 1 species
AUGGCCAGAGGGGGCCACGGGGCCCGAGGGGGUGCUCCCCCGCCCCCUGCUCAGCUGCACACAGGCCCUGGACGAUGAUCUGCAACGGGAGGCCCACACGGUGACAGCGCACCUGACCUCUAAGGUGGGUGGGGCCUGGAGACCAAGGCGUGGAGGCAGUCCCUGGUGCCCCCUGCCCAUGCUGAGCACUGCUCCUGCCCUCAGAUGGUGGGCGACAUCCGCAAGUAUGUACAGCACAUCAGUCUCUCGCCUGACUCCAUCCAGAACGAUGAGGCCGUGGCCCCGCUCAUGAAGUACCUGGAUGAGAAGCUGGCCCUGCUGAACGCCUCGCUGGUGAAGGGGAACCUGAGCAGGCCCUGGUCAGUUUUUUCCACGCAGAGGGUCAGGGUUUGCCCCUGGAGAGCCUGAGGGAUG